AGAGUUUGAUCCUGGCUCAGGAUGAACGCUAGCGGCAGGCUUAACACAUGCAAGUCGAGGGGGAACAGGGGGCUUGCACCGCUGACGACCGGCGCACGGGGGCGCAAGUAUACAAUCUACCUUUUACAGAGAGAUACCCCAGAGAAAUUUGGAAUAAUACCUCAUAAUAUUCUUGCUCGGCAUCGAGUGACAAUUAAAGUUUCGGCGGUAAAAGAUGAGUAUGCGUCCUAUUAGCUAGUUGGUAAGGUAACGGCUUACCAAGGCGACGAUAGGUAGGGGUCCUGAGAGGGAGAUCCCCCACACUGGUACUGAGACACGGACCAGACUCCUACGGGAGGCAGCAGUGAGGAAUAUUGGUCAAUGGGCGAAAGCCUGAACCAGCCAUCCCGCGUGCAGGAUGACGGCCCUAUGGGUUGUAAACUGCUUUUAUACGCCAAGAAAAAUCUCAACGUGUUGUGACUUGACGGUAGUGUAUGAAUAAGCAUCGGCUAACUCCGUGCCAGCAGCCGCGGUAAUACGGAGGAUGCAAGCGUUAUCCGGAUUCAUUGGGUUUAAAGGGUGCGUAGGCGGCUUUUUAAGUCAGUGGUGAAAUCUUGCCGCUUAACGGUAAAAUUGCCAUUGAUACUGAUGGGCUUGAGUACAGUUAGGUUAAGGGAAUGUGUAGUGUAGCGGUGAAAUGCUUAGAUAUUACACAGAACACCGAUUGCGAAGGCAGCUUACUAAACUGUUACUGACGCUGAUGCACGAAAGCGUGGGGAGCGAACAGGAUUAGAUACCCUGGUAGUCCACGCCGUAAACGAUGAUCACUCGCUGUAUGCGAUACACAGUAUGCGGCCAAGCGAAAGCAUUAAGUGAUCCACCUGGGGAGUACGAUCGCAAGGUUGAAACUCAAAGGAAUUGACGGGGGCCCGCACAAGCGGAGGGGAACAUGUGUCAUAAUUCGAUGAUACGCGAGGAACCUUACCUGGGCUUAAAUGUAGAACGACAGCUUGUGAAAGCAGGCUUUCUUCGGACGUUCUACAAGGUGCUGCAUGGUUGUCGUCAGCUCGUGCCGUGAGGUGUCGGGUUAAGUCCCAUAACGAGCGCAACCCUUAUCGUUAGUUGCCAGCGGGUGAAGCCGGGGACUCUAGCGAGACUGCCACCGUAAGGUGUGAGGAAGGUGGGGAAGAUGUCAAAUCAGCACGGCCUUUAUGUCUUGGGCUACACACUUGCUACAAUGGCUGGUACAAAGGGUUGCCAACCCGCGAGGGGGAGCUAAUCCCAUAAAGCCAGUCGUAGUCCGGAUCGUAGUCUGCAACUCGACUACGUGAAGUCGGAAUCGCUAGUAAUCGUGGAUCAGAAUGUCACGGUGAAUACGUUCCCGGGUCUUGUACACACCGCCCGUCACACCAUGGGAGCGGGUUCUGCCAGAAGUAGUUAGCUUAACCGCAAGGAGGGCGAUUACCACGGCAGGGUUCGUGACUGGGGUGAAGUCGUAACAAGGUAACCU
rnacentral:rRNA from 1 species